GCAGCAUUCUAGUAAUUUACCUUGCGGAAUACCCAUUACUCCUCGAAAUCUCGGACAAAGAGAGAACUGACCAAUUGCGUUAGUCAGUAAGGCAAAUUGUUUCAAUGCUAAUGAUCCAUUCUUUCUCCGUCCGAGAUCUCGAAAAAGCUUUAAAAAGUGCUUAAAACAAUUACGCACGUGAAAUUUUGUUGCAGAGAUUCAAGCGCAAUGACUUCUGUAUUGCAAAAUAAAGAAGCAGAGACUAAGGCGAAGAGGCAGGCGAAAGCAACAUCAGGACAAAUAGAUUACAUGGUGGACUAUUUUGUGCAACAUCCAUACGUUGCAACAGGCAAGUUUCAGAGCCUACAUGAGAACCCCGAAGAGGGUCAUGGGAGCAAUUAGUCAAUUAAAUAGUAUGGGAAAAGAAGGAAAGACUAAAGAUGUAAAGUCAUGGAAAUCAACAUGGCGUGAUAAUAAAACUGCAAUUUUCAAAAAGAUUGCAAAAAUUCGUGCUAAUCGAAGUGUAACAGGGAAUGUUGGUGGUGCUCCUGACAAAUUGUUGACGGAACGAGAAAAAAAGAUUUUGGGUCUAAUGGGUCUUGAUUAUGUGGAAGGCGUACAAUGUCCCGAUUUAUUUCCAGAGAAACAGUGCUAGAUACUACUGGAGAACAUUUGGGAGAAGGGUCAACUCUUAAUAUUAUUCAAACUAAUUUACAAAUUAAAAAUAUGGAAACUGCAAAACAGCCACACCAUUGCAAAAUAACAGAAUCGCUGUCAGAUUUUCUAAUUAAUGAAGAUAUACUACAAUCGCUCAUGACUGUUACGCAGGGUUCUAGCAAAAAACGAAGAGGGGCGCAAAAUACAAGACAAAACACUGAACGUUGGGCACACAACUGCAGAAUGCCAGAGCAGAUUUUGCAACUCUAGCUGAGCGUCAAUUUUCAUGUAUGGAAAUGUUUGCUAAAGCAAUGCAACAAAUGGCAAAUAAUGAAAAGGAUCGAAAUGAAUGUCUGCGUGCUUUCAUAGAAGCAAAAAAUAGUAGAAAAAAAACAUAUUCCGAAUUAAUGAUAGUAGUAAAAAAUUUUGAAAAAUAAGUCUAAUCUUUAAUGUCCGUAUUUUAUUAUUUUUUGAAUUUUAUUCUUUUAUGUAUAUGUAGUUUAUUUCCUUGUUAUAUUCAAAGUUUAAAGACAAUAAGGUUUUUAGUUUAAGAACAAUAAAAUAAUUGUAUUGUUUG